UCCUCCGCCUGCUGCGGGCAGAUGAAAUGGAUGUGUGCGUCGAUCGCGCCGGCGGUGAGGAUGCGGCCCUCGCCGGCGAUGAUCUCGGUGCCGGGGCCGAUGACGAUGGUGACGCCGGGCUGGGUAUCGGGAUUGCCCGCCUUGCCGAUCGCGGCGAUGCGGCCGUCGCGGAUCGCGACAUCCGCCUUCACGAUGCCGGUAUGAUCGAGGAUCACGGCGUUGGUGAUGACGGUGUCGGCAGCGCCCUCCGCGCGCGUCGCCUGCGACUGGCCCAUGCCGUCGCGGA
rnacentral:sRNA from 1 species